UUUGGUAAAGUUCAUUAUUUGAAUAAUUGCAUUACAAGCAUUAGGUUCUAUAUUUUAGAUAUCAAAA
rnacentral:tRNA from 1 species